GGGGGAGAUGCUGCAUCAUGGCAUGCACUUGUUUUAUAUUUGCUUUUGGUCAUCUGGCGCGAAUAUGUUUAAUUUUUAGCCAUUGACAGCAAUACCAUCUAAACUGAAACAACCUGUUUUUUACCAUACAUCCGAGGUUUGUUGCUCCAAUAUCAUUAGAGCAGGACAAUAAUGUGGUGAUUUGCGGAGGGUGUAGGCAGUUGCAUGAUACAGUAUCUUUGCAAGUGACCAUUACCAUCAUCAUCAUCCUCAUCAUUAUCAUCCAUAUGGAAAGAAAGAGCAGCUCAAUAGGAAACAAUGGCGGACAACAGUGACCUAAAAGCCCAGCUAGAGCGCAAAAAGCAGCGGCUAGCUCAGAUCAGGGAGGAGAAGAAGAGGAAACAGGAGGAGAAGAAGAGGAAACAGGAGGAGAAGAAGAGGAAACAGGAGGAGAAGAAGAGGAAACAGGAGGAGAAGAAGGAGACAGAGACACAGCAGAAGGCUGAAGCUGCCUCAGUGGACUAGGACCGUGACUUGGACCGGAAGCGCAGAGAGACAGAGGCUCUCCUACAGAGCAUCGGCAUCUCCCCAGAACCACCACUAGUCCCCAUCCAAAUGAGUGAGCCGACACAGCACCCCCAGUGAGACGAGAAGCCAGGACUCAGCCGAUGGGGCAUCAGCCGGCAGGCGCAGGAUACAUAGACUGGGGGCGUCUAAGAUCACACAGGUAGACUUCCUACCCAGAGAGGUGGUGUCGUACUGCAAAGAGACUCAGACGGCCAUCACCCAUCUAUCUGAGGGUGAGUGUGUAAGGUGCGCCUGUGUGCGUGCCUGUGAGUAUUUUAUCAUUACCGUUCUCUCAAUUGCUCCCUCUAUAACCUUCUCUCUAAAAAACAACAUACACUUUUAAAUGUUUUUAUGAUUCCAUUAAAACCAUCAAAAGCAGAGUUCACAUUAAUCUGAUCGUCAUUACUGCUGUAGUGUGCUUUACCACCUGCUUUGAAAACAUGGAGCGCUUUAAAUCCAUUUGACUGGCACAGCCCUCCAUUUCCUGAGAGAGGGAGGGGAGAGAGAGAGAGAG